rnacentral:lncRNA from 1 species
CUUUGCCCUUGUGAAAAUUGCCUGCUGUUUUAUCCCACUGAAUCGAAGUGUUGGGGAGAAGACAAAUGUCACAUCUAAUUCAGUCAACAGUUACAUAAAAGAAACUACAGUGAAGUCUCUUGUCAAGAUUCCCCUGCUUCCUCCACCUCUGCCUCCUGACGGUCCCAGAUGCUUCCAGGUGUGGGCCCCAUGCGAUGGCAUGCCCCUCCCCUUGGAGACUGGUGAGCCCAAAGGAGGAGGCCGAGUCCAGGGCCAUCUUGCUGAAAGCUAGAACUAUGGUGGGUCCGCCCAGCUGGAGUUGACCAUGAAGGGAGGGGCUCCAUUGUCCAUGACACCCCCUGAAGCAGAG